GACAAACAAACCAAUCAAGGGCAUCAUGACCGACCAAAAGAGCAUUUGGCAGAAGCAUGCAAACUGAUUUCAGGUCUGAGGAGAACAGCUGAGUGUGUAUGGCCUGGCAUCUUCAUAUGACCCACUUUUUUCAUGAUGCAGCACGCAGACCAGAAGUUGUAAAAUAAAGUCCUCCUCACUCAUAAAACCAUUCAGCGCUCAGCCGUGCUCCUCCUGCAUCACUCUCCUGUCCUGUCUGCACAAUUGAAAAACGCAUCCUCAGCUUAUGGUAAGGUCUCGAGCAGCAGAUGGUGUGGUGAGGGUUGUUGCGUGACUCUUGAAAGAGGAAUUCUCAUCAGGCGGGACAGAUAAUCGGGUCUGAGAAGCUGCUAAGUCCACUCGCUCAUGCAGCCUUCUCUGG